GGUUGUGGGGACUACCUGGCUGCAGCAUGUGGCACCCUUUGAUCAUGAAGUUUUUUUAGGCUGAGGUGGCUGGCUAGACCAGUGUCUCCUUCCUCCCUCACCACUCCAUGCGUGUCCCUCCCAAAGCUGAGCACUUGGAUGAGGAGGGUAACCUGCCCUGAGUGGGGAGGGUGGCUCUUUGGACAAAGCUAUACGAGUAGCUCUCCUCCUCUUCUAAAACCUCCAGGCAAGCUCUCAAGAAAAGGCACAGCCUCUGUCCUAAAAAGAACUGACAAUGUGGAGACAGGGAUAGAGGAGGGUGCGUGCCUUCACACUCAGUUUGUAGCAGGUUUCUUCCAGUA
rnacentral:snRNA from 1 species